CUAAUCGCUUUCCUUCGAAGUUACUGGUCUCACACCUAAAGUAGAAGCUAAGGAGAUGAACUGGAAGAAUCGUCAGAGCAUCGGAAAAUAUGCUUUGUGGUAUUUGUUCCCACUCUGUAUAUCCUACGUUCAGAUCUUGCUCAGUGCAGUGGUUCUUAGCCUGGGUGACAGCGUUCCCUUGAGAGCAUUGUGAGCUUACAAAGAGUGGGGAAAUGUCAUGGCAGAGCUAUGUUGACUCUGAUGGGAUUGAAAAACAGCAGUAACAGUACUUUGAACACACCCUACUAAACAUUACUUGAUUAGUAUGCAGAAUGCAGUCGAGGCGUGAGGACAAUUUGGAAACUAUGCAAUAAAGUUUCCUGUUGAACUCGGCAAAAACACUACAAAAACUUAUGAACUGCUCCAGACUGCUUACGGAUUAACUUGUAUGAGCUGAGCGUGUUUUUCGCUAGCUCAAGUGAAUCAUUAUGACUUCCACCGGGAAGUUCAUGAUGGUCCUCUUUUUCGACAGUAAGGUCAUCAUCUCAGCUACAUCUACUUGGUUCCGUAUAACCAGACAGUCAACAAAAGUAACCUUGUGGAGGUUUUGAGGGAGUUGAGGAAGAGAUUUCAUCGCAAAAAGCCAGAGUAACUACUCGACGACAAUGCACCAGUCCACAAUUCCAUCCUGGU